rnacentral:rRNA from 1 species
UACGAAGGGGGGCUAGCGUUGCUCGGAAUCACUGGGCGUAAAGGGCGCGUAGGCGGCGUUUUAAGUCGGGGGGUGAAAGCCUGUGGCUCAACCACAGAAAUGGCCUUCGAUACUGGGACGCUUGAGUAUGGUAGAGGUUGGUGGAACUGCGAGUGUAGAGGUGAAAUUCGUAGAUAUUCGCAAGAACACCGGUGGCGAAGGCGGCCAACUGGACCAUUACUGACGCUGAGGCGCGAAAAGCGUGGGGAGCAAACAGG